rnacentral:rRNA from 1 species
AUGCAAGUCGAACGAUUCCUGUAUCUUCGGAUACAGGGAGUGGCAAACGGCUGAGUAACGCGUAGGAACCUACCCCAAACUCGAGUAUAGCCCCGCGAAAGCGGGGGUAAUCCUCGAUAGCCCGUGAAGUAUUUUACUUCACGGUAAAGCUUUUGCGGUUUGGGAUGGGCCUGCGUCCUAUCAGGUAGUUGGUGAGGUAAAUGCUCACCAAGCCUAUGACGGGUAGCUGGUCUGAGAGGAUGGUCAGCCAGACUGGGACUGCGACACGGCCCAGACUCCUACGGGAGGCAGCAACUAGGAAUUGUGCGCAAUGGACGAAAGUCUGACGCCGCGACAUCGCGUGGAGGAUGAAGGUCUUCGGAUUGUAAACUCCUUUUCUUACCGAACAAGUUCUGAGUGUAGGUAAGGAAUAAGUGCCUGCUAACCACGUGCCAGAAGCAUCGGUAAUACGUGGGGCACGAGCGUUAUCCGGAUUUACUGGGCGUAAAGAGAAGCGUAGGCGGCUCAAUAAGUUUGGUGUUAAAUCUUCCGGCUCAACCGGAAACAAGCACCGAAAACUAUCGAGAUUGAGUCGAGUAGGGAAGAGGGGAAUUCCUGGUGGAGCGGUUAAAUGCGUAGAUAUCACGAGGAAUACCAAGGGCGAAGGCACCUCUUUGGACUCGUACUGACGCUGAGGCUCGAAAGCGUGGGUAGCAAAACGGAUUAGAUACCCGUGUAGUCCACGCCGUAAACGAUCCCUGUUAG